GGUCGCAGGUUCGAAUCCUGCACGACCCACCAGUUUUAGCAUCGAAGACAGAUGUUAAGCGUGUAGGAUAACGUUGCGUCAGCAACGGCCCGUAGGGCGAGCGAAGCGAGUCAUCCUGCACGACCCACCA
rnacentral:sRNA from 1 species